rnacentral:lncRNA from 1 species
AUGCAACCGGCGCGCAGUUCACAUCACUUUGAAAAUAGCUUUGAAAAAAAAAAUCGCUUUGAAACUGCCGAACUGGGAUCCUGGGCCUCACUCCGCAGGCCUCGGAGCGGGCGUCAGAGCCAGGUUUUGCAGUCCUCUCGCCUCAGCUGCGGCCCCGCGACCACAAUUCCAGGUGCCCGCCAGGACCCUUCGAGCCCCGACAGCCCGGAAGCGCCUGACCACGCCUACCCACUGCGCCUGCGCGAGGCGCCCCCUCCGGCGAGCGGGGAGACUGGCGCUGGGCGGGCCGAGAGGCUCGUCGCGCCUGCGCGAAGGCCCCGGGGAGCAGCGUCGUUACUUUCCAAACGACUGGCGGGAACCGUUGGAGGCCGUGCGGUCGCCGUCUGGUCUGCCGGGCAGCAGCGCGCUCCCUCGUCCCUAGGCCUGGCCGUGGCGCCGCAGCUCUCCCGCGAGCAGAGGCGGAAAUCGUGGCCCAGUUCUUCUAUUGGUUAUACAAGUGUUCAGUUCAGAAACUGGUGGUAUUCAUCUCAAAUAUUGAAAGCGGUGAAGUCCUUGAAAGGUGGAAGUUUGAUAUUGAGUGCGACAAGACUGCAAAAGAUGACAGUUUCUUUGGUAGCACACCCAGAGAAAUGUCUCAGAAGGCCAUCCAGGAUGAGAUCCUCUCCGUAAUCCACAGAUCACAGCUACCGUGACUUUCUGCCCUGUUGGAAGUCUCUUGUGGAGGAAUGGAAACAUGUUCCGACUGGGCCUAUCAGGGUCUGAAAUAGAGCCCCAGAAGGGACUGAACCACACGUCUCCAGGAUUCUUCUCCCAGUGUCAUCAAUUGGAGAGAGGAGUCAAGCCUCCAUGGGAAUUCACACAGAG